rnacentral:rRNA from 1 species
UAGGGAAUCUUCCACAAUGGACGAAAGUCUGAUGGAGCAACGCCGCGUGAGUGAAGAAGGGUUUCGGCUCGUAAAACUCUGUUGUUAAAGAAGAACAUAUCUGAGAGUAACUGUUCAUACGUUGACGGUAUUUAACCAGAAAGUCACGGCUAACUACGUGCCCG